AGGAUGGAAACUGACCAAUUGGAGGCCAUGUCUCAAAACGACAAGCAGCAAAAAGUGAUGAUCCUGGAUAAUCAAGCUGUGGAACAAAUCCAAAAAGGUUAUGGCGGCCAUGUUAGAACUUCUGGAAUAAGUUGCGAAACCUUAACAAACAAUGACAAAUAAAGCAACCAAGAUAACAUGAUCAGAGGAUGCUCACAGACAAGAACAUUUAUGACGUGCCGUAAUACCAUCUACUCCUCGGUUGUCCACAAACUAACUCUCUACUGAAUGGUUCAUUUAGUCUCCUGGGGAUGGCUGCCGACACCAACAUCUUCACCGAUAAGCAGACCAAUAACUGGUUCAAAGCGUGCAUUGCCCUCAAUUUGACAAAGGAUGGAUUGACUGACUUUGUUUUGACGGAAUUAUUAAACGUUCAAACAAUAGUUGGUAGAAGUUGUGGACAAUGCUUUAUUCAAAACCUUAUACCGUGUCCAACUCAUUAUGUGUGUAAAAAGAGGAAAGGAAAUAACUGUUCUUUCCACAAUUCACAACAACGAAAGUCAUGUCAAACAUGUGAUAAUGUGAAACAAGAUAUCACAUUGUUACACAGAUUUGAACGUCCUAGUUGGGCAAACACUAAAG